rnacentral:rRNA from 1 species
AACGAACGCUGGCGGCAUGCCUAACACAUGCAAGUCGAACGAGACCUUCGGGUCUAGUGGCGCAUGGGUGCGUAACGCGUGGGAACCUGCCGUUAGGCUCGGGAUUACUCUCCGAAAGGGGUGCUAAUACCGGGUAAUGUAUUCGGACAAAAGAUUUAUCGUCUUUGGAUGGGCCGGCGUUGGAUUAGCUAGUUGGUAUGGUAAAAGCCUAUCAAGGCGACGAUCCAUAGCUGGGCUGAGAGGAUGAUCAGCGACACUGGGACUGAGACACGGCGCGGACUCCUACGGGAGGCAGCAGAGGGGAAUAUUGGAAAAUGGGCUAAAGCAUGAUCCAGCAAUGCCGGGAGAGUGAUGAAGUCCUUAGGGUAGUAAAGCUGUUUUACCCGGGAUGAUAAUGACAGUACCGGGAGAAUAAGCACCGGCUAACUCCGUG